AGAAGAAUCUGAGAGGACUCAGCCAUCGGUGGCUUCAACACAAAUACUGGGGAGAGAAGACUCCAUGCAAAGGAAAUAGAGUCAGGAAGAAUUUAUGAGGGGGAUCCUUCUGUCUGUCUCCUCCAUCUGGACUUUACGGGGAAAAGAGCCACACUCACAACAUGGAUGCUGAGAUCAGGACUCAGGUCCCCAUACUGACACAACAUUCCCUCUUCCCCA